rnacentral:lncRNA from 1 species
UCCCGAACCUCCUAUCAAAACCAAAAGAUGACAUUCGCCUACCACGAAGGGCCUGACGAAGUCUAAGUGGCGACAAUUGCCUAUCCCGAAGGGCCUGACAAUGCCAAAGUGACGACAAUUGCCUACCCCGAAGGGCCUGACAAUGCCAAAGUGACCUCCUGCCGAUGAGGCUACCAUCGAAUGGUCAGCGAGUCCUCCCGAACCUCCUAACUCCGAGGUGGCAUUUGCUGUGCCUGUCAGAAUAUGGAUGAGCUACGGAAGUUCUUUAUGAAUGUUUUAAACUUCGAUCCCAUGAGCUGGCGUUUGUUAACCUGAUCCCUAGGCAAUGGACCCAGUACGACUACCCCCAGACAGUAAGAGGUAUAGGAGAUAAAAUCGAAAUAUAGCCUUUUGCUGGCUGAUGUGGGAUCGAACCAUUUGGCUGACAAAUAUCCACAUGAACCCUCCAAACAACAUUUGCAGCUUUGGACGGCGCCCGAAAUUCC